rnacentral:lncRNA from 1 species
UUGAAUAUGAUGUUUAUCAUGAGAUAUGUAUGCUAUCUUACUUAGAAUGUAAGGAAUGCUUGAAUGGUGAAACUAUAUGUGAUAGUUGAUUAUGAAUGGUUAUAUGUUGGAUAUGAUAUUUGUCAUGAGAUGUUGUAUGUUCUCUUACUUGGAAUAUGAGAAUUGUUUGGAAUGGUGAAACUAUAUGAUAUAGUUGAUGUUGAAUGACAUUGUUGAUUAUUGAUAAUCAUGUUGAUGUGUGAUGGUGAAUACUAUGAUUUAUUUGUGUGGGCAUGUUUUCUUGAUAAUGCAAUGUUGUGGAGA